CUGUGAAGAGAUUGUGUUGUUCUGAAUAAGGCUUAAUUCACCAGGAACUCCAUAUUCAAUGCCAUCUCCAUCUUUUUCAACUCUUUUGUCAGGAGACAAACGGUCCCUGCACCUCCAGUUGUCAUAAAAACUUCCCUGUUUUGUGGUAAAUGUUUAACAGUCCAUACUGUGGACUCAUGGGCUUUCUCUGUUACACAGGGGAAUCCCCUGCGAGGAUGUUGAACCCGGACAUCAUAACAGUAAAUUUUUGAUUCCAAAGUUGUAGCCACAACUUUGUUCAUUGGUAUGUCCUUUCUGUCGAAUUGUAGAGAAACUACCUUCAAGAGCAUUCAUAUUGUCAAUGGAAAUAAAAGCGGGUCAUUUCUAUUUCAUUACAAAAAUAUUAUCAGUGUUAUUACAUGUAAAGCUAAUAGUUUAAACUAUAACAAGUUUUUCGUGUAUUGCAGUAAAAUACGUAAUAAAUUUAUACAAAUAAA